rnacentral:rRNA from 1 species
CUACACGACCGUACCGCAAACCGACACUGGUGCGCGAGAUGAGUAUUCUAAGGCGCUUGAGAGAACUCAGGAGAAGGAACUCGGCAAAUUGACACCGUAACUUCGGAAGAAGGUGUGCCCUAUUAGUGUGAAGCGAGCAGCGGAGCAUGAACGGGUUGCAAAAAAUCGGUGGCUGCGACUGUUUAUUAAAAACACAGCACUCUGCAAACACGAAAGUGGACGUAUAGGGUGUGACGCCUGCCCGGUGCUGGAAGAUUAAAUGAUGGGGUGCAAGCUCUUGAUUGAAGUCCCAGUAAACGGCGGCCGUAACUAUAACGGUCCUAAGGUAGCGAAAUUCCUUGUCGGGUAAGUUCCGACCUGCACGAAUGGCGUAACGAUGGCCACACUGACUCCUCCUGAGACUCAGCGAAGUUGAAAUGUUUGUGAUGAUGCAAUCUCCCCGCGGAAAGACGGAAAGACCCCAUGAACCUUUACUGUAGCUUUGUAUUGGACUUUGAACAGAUCUGUGUAGGAUAGGUGGGAGGCUUUGAAGCCCGGUCGCUAGAUCGGGUGGAGCCAACGUUGAAAUACCACCCUGGUGUGUUUGAGGUUCUAACCUGGGUCCAUUAUCUGGAUCGGGGACAGUGCAUGGUAGGCAGUUUGACUGGGGCGGUCUCCUCCCAAAGCGUAACGGAGGAGUUCGAAGGUACGCUAGUUACGGUCGGACAUCGUGACGAUAGUGCAAUGGCAUAAGCGUGCUUAACUGCGAGACUGACAAGUCGAGCAGAUGCGAAAGCAGGACAUAGUGAUCCGGUGGUUCUGUAUGGAAGGGCCAUCGCUCAACGGAUAAAAGGUACUCUGGGGAUAACAGGCUGAUACCGCCCAAGAGUUCAUAUCGACGGCGGUGUUUGGCACCUCGAUGUCGGCUCAUCUCAUCCUGGGGCUGUAGCCGGUCCCAAGGGUAUGGCUGUUCGCCAUUUAAAGAGGUACGUGAGCUGGGUUUAAAACGUCGUGAGACAGUUUGGUCCCUAUCUUCCGUGGGCGCUGCAGAUUUGAGGAAGCCUGCUCCUAGUACGAGAGGACCGGAGUGGACACACCUCUGGUGUAUCGGUUGUCACGCCAGUGGCAUUGCCGAGUAGCUAAGUGUGGAGGAGAUAAACGCUGAAAGCAUCUAAGCGUGAAACUCGUUUCAAGAUGAGAUCUGCCGGGGCCUCGAGCCCCCUGAAGAGUCGUUCAAGACCAGGACGUUGAUAGGUCGGGUGUGGAAGCGCAGUAAUGCGUUAAGCUAACCGAUACUAAUUGCUCGUGCGGCUUGAUC